rnacentral:rRNA from 1 species
CACGUAGGGUGCGAGCGUUGUCCGGAAUUAUUGGGCGUAAAGAGCUCGUAGGCGGUGUGUCGCGUCGGCCGUGAAAACCUGCAGCUUAACUGUGGGCUUGCGGUCGAUACGGGCAUCACUGGAGUUCGGCAGGGGAGACUGGAAUUCCUGGUGUAGCGGUGAAAUGCGCAGAUAUCAGGAGAAACACCGGUGGCGAAGGCGGGACUCUGGGCCGAUACUGACGCUGAGGAGCGAAAGCGUGGGGAGCGAACAGG